GGAAACAUGAAAAUAAAGUUUGAGUUUGUCAUCAGAACAUGACAAGAUUUGGAUGACUGGGUAGGGCUUGCUUGAGAAGAGUUCUGAGGUUAUUUGCUAAGUGGGAUUAUCAGAAGUUUCAGAAGUUUAACAGUUAUGUCUGCAGUCCAUUUUGAAUUAAUUCUUGUACAGUUGCAUUAGGUUCCAUUGAUUUCAAGCUUCUGGCUCCUCCCCAUGGUUUCUUUCUCUAAAUCUGAAUUUCUUCUGCUUAUAAAGACUCCACCGGCCAGACUAAGGCCCAAACUCAUUCAAUUGGGGCACUUCUAAACAACAGCUUCAAGAGACCCUGUUUGCAAUGGGUUCCCGUCUACAGGAAUGCAGAUCAAGACCAAGAACAUGUCAAAAAUGGGAUACAUAAUUCAUUCCACCACAAGAUUAUUGAUGGCGCCAGGUGAAUUAUAUUCCAGUCAUGGUUAACUUCUUGUCAGUCCCUCAUCUGCCAUAUCCUUUCAAGGCAUAGUGCACAGG